UACGUAGGGGGCAAGCGUUGUCCGGACUUAUUGGGCGUAAAGAGCGUGUAGGCGGCCUGAAAGGUCAGCUGUGAAAACUCGAGGCUCAACCUCGAGACGUCGGUUGAAACCAUCUGGCUAGAGUCCGGAAGAGGAGUGUGGAAUUCCCGGUGUAGCGGUGAAAUGCGCAGAUAUCGGGAAGAACACCCGUGGCGAAGGCGGCACUCUGGGACGGUACUGACGCUGAGACGCGAAAGCGUGGGGAGCAAACAGG
rnacentral:rRNA from 1 species